UGAUGAAGUUUUUUUUAUUGUUUUAUACAAUAAACAAUGUAUAUUCACUUUUACUACCAACCAAUCUUUACCAUUCAGUGAUAACAAGCACUUUAUUUUACAUUUUAAUAUUUUAUGAUGUAUUUAAAAGAGUAGUUAUUGUUGCAAACUCCAUUAGAAAUUUGAAUUGAUAUCAGUUUUGGAAAAAGGGAAGCGGGGAUGUGAAAAAAAGGGGGGGGGGGUUAAAUUUUUCUCAUUUCAGAUUUCAUAAAUAAAAAGAAAAUUUCUUCAAACAUAUUUUUGAGAGGAUUAAUAUUCAACAGCAUAGUGAAUUGCUCAAAGGCAAAAAAAAACUUUUAAGUUCAUUAGACCACAUUCAUUCUGUGUCAGAAACCUAUGCUGUGUCAACUAUUUAAUUUUAGAUUUAAAAAGUUUGAAGAAGAAAUCUUUAAUUGAUUUGUAAAAUCUUGACAUUUGUUUUGUGUAAAAAAAAAACAUGUAAUGUCAAAAAUUUGAUCACAAUCCAAAUUCAGAGCUGUAUCACGCUUGAAUGUUUUGUCCAUACUUGCCCCAACUGUUCAGGGUUCGACCUCUGCGGUCGUAUAAAGCUGCGCCCUGCGGAGCACCUGGUUUUUGAGAUGUUGAGAUGUAUUUUUGAAACCCAAACUCAGUAUUAGUGUUUUUAAACUGUUUUUUCCUAAGAAUGGGCAGAAUAUGUGCAUAGUUUUUAUUUAUAAAAAAAAUAGUUCAUAUGGCAGAAGAAACUUGUCUCCACUGGGUCACAUAUGAAUAUUUCGUAUUCUAGUUUACGUAAAGUAAUAUUAUCUGAUUAUGCUAACAUUUGAUGUUAACAUUUGAUAUAAUACUUUAAAUUGAAAAGGGUGAGUAGCACGUUUGUAAGGAAGAAACAAGAUUUUAAUACUAAAUAGGCCAUUUGAUACAUUCAUGUUGCACUGGUAGAGAACUUUAUUUAAUUUUACCUUAUUGAUGUUUAUGAGGAAAAUUAUUGCUUUAUAUGUAUCAGGGUUUGCAGUAAAAAUACAAUUGGUAAUGGAAGUGAAUUACAUUUUACAUAUUUGAAAUAAAUUUAUUUCUUA
rnacentral:lncRNA from 1 species